ensembl:lncRNA
CCGCAGGGCGCGCGCGCCCCCUCCCCAGCCCGCCCGCGGUCCCGCGCGCCUCGCCUGGCACCGCCUCCCGGGCCUCCCCGGACUCACCCUCCCGGGCCCCGAGCCCCACCCCUGCACCCCCUCCUCACAGUGCCCUGGGACUGCGCCUCCCUACCGGCCGGCGCCACCUCUCUCCACGCCCCCGUCCGCAGCGCCGGGAAGCUAGGGAAGCGGGGCCGAGGACGAGGACGAGGGCCGAGCGCCAGCGGGGGGGGGGCGGGCUGCAGGGCGUGUUCCUGUGGGGCUGCGGGGUGCGCAGGAUGCGCGGUUUUCGGUGUGAGGGAAACGAGGUUCGAAGCCGGAGCCAGUGCAGGAUCCGCCUCUCUUCUGCACUCUGACGCUGAGACACACACAGCGCCUCCCUGAGCCGCGGUGCUACGCGGGACAGGAAGGGUCCCGUGGUCAGGACCCCAGAAGCUCCACAUCGCGGGCCAGUGGGGUUUCCAGCCUCCCUGUCCUUAUGUUCGCCCACCUCCCUCUGCCUGGGCCUUUACGCAGGCCCCUUACUCCUGGGAUUGUCCCCACUCCACUCCGGGGCCUUACCUGGCACCACCACCACCCCCUUAGCUUCAUCCCACUAUAGCUUCCGUUUUGUCAGCGCCAGUUGUCUUCUGUCACCGUGCUAAGGGCUUUACAGGACUUUCUAUUUCACUCCUUGCAACAAAUCCCAAGGUAGCCUGUUAUCCCCCAGGGCUUUCCAUUGAAGGAGCUGCAGACCCAGGCUCUGCACACCGCCUUCCUGCUCCCCAGUCCCUAGCAGAUGCCCCCACCCCAUAAUGCGGCUUUCCCUGUUGUCCAAUUGUGUCUCCCCAAGACUGGAAUUUGGGAGAAGGGCUGUCCUUAGUCGCCCCCUCUGGCACUCGGCUCACCCGGCUCAGGGAAUGGGAGUAGUGGGCAAAUGCAUCUCCAGGACACCUGCACAGGAAGCCCUUCCCGAGCCGCAGGGCCAGGAGUCAGCCCACAGGAGGGGCCCACCUAGUGGGCGGGAGAGGCCCUGGGAGAUGCGAGCUCUUCAGGGAGUCCUUCAGCAGCGGCUACCCCGCUGAGCCAGGACCGUUCAUCCUGAGCACGGGAACACCCACUGGAGGAGCGGACGCUGGUCCCCAAGACCCUGCAUCCCUGUCCCCAGUGUGACUGUGGUGACCACAGGCUGCCUGCGUGUUCUUUUACCUGGUGCUGGUGAAAUCAGACCUGGACCCUUCCUGUGGUGCCUCUUCACAGCCAGAUGUGACAGCCCCUCUGUCCUGUGAGCAGCUCUCGCUGGGUGACAGCACAAGGCUGCACAAGGACUCCCUGGAGUUGUCACACACAGAGCUCUGGAUGUAUUGGCCCCCAGCCAAGCUGAGGAGAGGCCUGCGCUUGCAAAUGCUGUUGGCUACUCAGCAAGACCCAGCUUUGUCGGAAGCCCAUCUUUCCCAAGUAGCUCAGCUCACAGGCACAAUGGCCUCCAGCAGCCUAGAGCCCAGCAUGGUGCCCCCAGGCCCAUGUGGCAUACCAGCAGUUCAGUCUCCCCCUCACAAUCCUCAAGAUGACCGCCCUGAUCUGACUCUGCCAUCUCGCCCUCCUGGGGGUCCUAGGGGUAGCUGUGCACUUCCAGGUCCCCACUGCUGUGUCUUCCCUCCCAACUCCAGCCCUAUAUCCGCACUCAGGGGGGACAUGGGCCCCACUGUGUGGUGUUAGGGACCCGGGGUGGUCCCAGUGAGGCUGGGGGCCUGGCUCCCACAGAGGGGUCCUGCUCCCGUGAGCAGGAGCAGCCUCCACACCCGGGGGCAAGCAGGUGGCAGUGGUGCCCAUGCCCUUUGUGCCUCCUGGCCGAGCUGGGGCCUGACCAAACUGCCUGGGGGAGGGACCAGGCGGGACCCAGGGGCCAGGCAGCCACCUCCACAGGGACUUCCUAGCCCUGCUGUGCCAAGAGGUGGCCGCCCCACGUGGAGGGUGCUGCUGCCACUUACAGGUCUCCCAGCCUCGCCCUGGGGGCCGGGCGGGGAAGGAGGCCAGGGAGCCAGCAUUAGAGUCGCCGGCGAAUCCGAUCGAGAGCCUCAGCCAGCAGCAACACCGUGUGUCCCCCAGUCCUUCACCCAAGAGCAAGCCUUUCCUUCUCCAGCCCCGGUGCGCCGGGCACUCGCGGGCCUCUCAGCGCUCGCUGUCUCAGUCUUGCCCUGCAGGGCCUCCCAGGCCCAGACCCCGGACAGAGCAGAAGGCCUUCGCUCAGCCUCACCUCCCGAGGCCCUGGGGCUGGCUCCCCAGGCCCCUCCUCAGCUGCCGUCACUGGGCUGGACUGCCCUUCCUCCAGAGCCCGGACCCCGGGCCUCCGCCUGCGCCGUCCUCAGUCUCACCAGGACCGAAGCCUGCAUUCCCGCUGCCCUGAUGCUUGUGUGCCUUUUUCUUUGAUGUUUUGUCAAAUCUGGGCUUCCCACAUCCGUCUUUUUCCCUCCUGGUGUUCAUGAGCGGAUUCCUGCACGAGCCUCAAAGCCUCCAGCUCUGCUGGUUGGGAAGAGACAAAGCCUGUCCACACCAGGAGGAAACGUCCUCUCUUCUCUGACAGCUGCAGAAAAACAUAUGCAGUUUUCUGUCACCAAACUGUCCACACAGGGCUCAAAGCACACCUGAUACCCAAGUUCACGCACACUGUUUCCCACUGCUAAAACAGAGCAGCCCAAGUGUGCAGAGUGGGCUGACGGAGUCCCCAAGCUGUGAUUUAGCUGUGUUGUGGAGUAUUGCUCAGCCUUGAGGAGGAGUGGGAGUCUGACCCACAGCACAGAGCAGAUGGCCUUGAGGACACUGUGCUCAGCAAAAUAACCCAGGCACAGAGCACAGGUGCUGCAUGCCUCAUGCACCAGGUGCUGCCACAAUCAGCUGUACAGAGGAGCUGGUGGUGCCCAGGCUGGGGCUGGAUUUCAGGGUGGAAAGCUCUGGCAGUGACAGACACACAACAAAGUGAAUAUUCUUCCUGCAGCUGAAUCGUACCUAAGAAUGGUUAGAAUGGUAAAUUUUAUGUUGUGUUCUUUACCACAAUAAAAAUAUUUUAAGAAACGAGGGGCUCCUUAGUUCCUGAGCACAGCGGGGUAGGGAUGGAGCCCCCCACCCCCACCCUGCCCCAGACAGAGAUCAGCCCCAUGGCCACAC